rnacentral:rRNA from 1 species
UACGAAGGGAGCUAGCGUUGUUCGGAAUCACUGGGCGUAAAGCGCACGUAGGCGGAUGUGUCAGUCAGGGGUGAAAUCCCGGAGCUCAACUUCGGAACUGCCCUUGAUACAGCACGUCUUGAGUCCGGAAGAGGUGGGUGGAAUUCCUAGUGUAGAGGUGAAAUUCGUAGAUAUUAGGAAGAACACCUGCGGCGAAGGCGGGUUGCUGGGCUGACACUGACGCUGAGGCGCGAAAGCUAGGGGAGCGAACGGG